rnacentral:rRNA from 1 species
UUUAAGUGGGAGAACUUGUUAAAAUUUAAUAAAAAGGAAAAGGAUUUUUUAAGAGGAAAAGGAAUAAGUAGUUUAAAUUGAAAUUUUUUUUGAGGCUAAAGUGGAAAGUAUUGAGAAAGAAAGUUGAAAGAGGUGUAGGAAAUAGAAAAAAAGAAAAAAUAAAUAUUUGUACCUUGUGUAUUAGGGUUAAUCUAGAUUAUUCUUUUAUUUAUGAAAGUCCCGAAAAAAAAAGAGCUAAGAUAAGAAGAAAGUUUUUGUGGUAAAAAAAUUUAAAAUUUUAUUUUUGUGGUGAAAUGCUAGUCGUGUUUUUAUAUCUGGUUUUUUCUGAAAAAAAUUUAAUUUUUUUUUUAUUUUGAGAGUAAAUAGAAAAUAAGGGUAGGAGGGGAGAGCUUCUUAUCCAAGGUAAGUGUUUGAUAUAAGAAAAUGAGUGGGUUUUAGGUAAUUUAAUUAGGCUUAAAAGUGGCUAUAUUAGGAGAGUGUUUAAACUAAUUUUUUUUGGUUUAUUAAAAUUUAUGUGUUGUUUAUUUAGGUAGGAAAGAGAUUUAAUAAGUGGGAGAUUGUUUGUUAAAAUGAUUAAAUUAGUAUAGUUUGUUGUAGUUAAAACUUAAUUGAGUUUGAAAAAAAAAAGAUAAAAAAAAGCUAGUUUAUUUAGAGGAACUCGGCAAAAAGAAAUCUUCUGCCUGUUUAUCAAAAACAUGUCUCUAUGGGUGGUUUAUAGAGUCUGGCCUGCCCACUGAUUGAGUAGAGAUUAAAGGGCCGCGGUAUAUUGACCGUGCGAAGGUAGCAUAAUCAUUAGUCUUUUAAUUGAAGGCUGGAAUGAAUGGUUUUACAAGAAGUUUACUGUCUUUAAGUUAAGAUUUGAAUUUUACUUUUAAGUGAAAAGGCUUAAAUGAUUUAAAGGGACGAUAAGACCCUAUAAAACUUUACAUAGGAAAAUUAUUUUAAGAAUUAUUUGUUUAAAGUAGGGAAAAUUUAAAUAUGUUUUGUUGGGGAGACAGGAAUAUAAUGUGAUUUGUAACUGUUCAAAUAAAAAAAAUCAGAUUAUUAUUGAGUAAAUAAAAUGGUCCUUAAAAAAGAUUAGAAGAGUAAGUUACUUUAGGGAUAACAGCGUUAUUUUUUUGGAGAGUUCUUAUCAAUAAAAAAGAUUGCGACCUCGAUGUUGAAUUAAAAUUUCUUUAUAAUGCAGUUGUUAUAGGAGAAAGUCUGUUCGACUUUUAAAAUUUUACAUGAUUUGAGUUCAAACCGGCGUGAGCCAGGUUGGUUUCUAUCUUUUAAAAAAAAAAAAUCGCUUUAGUACGAGAGGACCAAGUGGUUUGAAUAAUUUAUGGGAUUGGAAUAAAAUU